UUUAAAUUGGUUCGCAGCAGGAUGGAACUCAAACCCUAGAAAUACAAAAAACUGAGACUGGAUACUUCCAUGCUCUGUCCGCGAUAUGCUUUGGAUGCUUUCAGAUCUGUGAAUCAGAAAGUGAAUGUGAGUCCCAUUGUUAUCAAAACCGGCAGAGUCACAACGGAACAGAUUAUUGCUGUGUCGGUACACAUCACGGCUGUGAACAUUUUUCCUGGAACACAUGCUUGGUUCUCCGAUUCAGUGAUGUCCUACAUACAUCAAUAAUGGAAAUCAAAGUGGCUCGACAAAUGGAUAAUGCGUGGCGACCAAAUCGAUGAUUUAGGAGUUGAUGUCUAAGAGUACUGGUUACUUUUAGGAGUUUACAACCUUCAAAACUACUAGGUACUUUCUUCUUCUAUCAAUGAGAAAUAUUUCAAAGUUGAUACGCCUACGAAAGUUUGAGAUAUUUUCACUAAAGUUAUGAAUUUGCAAACUUAAAAUAUUAUUGUUUUCUUUCUUUUGAAAUAAAUAUUUAUUCAAUAGUCAAAAUGUCUAUGUUCUUAAAUAGAGGGACAAAAUGAAAUCUUUCGUCGUAUAGAAUUCUAGAAUGGGAAUGUCGUGCAUGUAAUAAAUGCAAGCAGUUGGAGAAGUGGAUCUUUUGAUAUUUCUUGUGUCUGAUUAUUUUUUAUGUUAUUAUCGGUAAAGAUGGGAAACAAGAUAUUUAGUUUAAAAUUAGUUUGGGAAAAGUUAACAUCAUUGUUUGAUUCAAAGAUGAAUUUGAAAAGUUUUUGAACAAUGUUAUGUCCAGUCACAUCAUCUAGUUAAUUGUAUUUUCGGUCUUUGAAGUACACAAUGGUGCCUAGCAGUUAACUUUUCGCAAACUGGUUUUGGAUAAUAGUAAGUGUCUUGUUUCAUAUCCAGUAACAUAAAAGUGGAGCAAUCAGAUAAAAGAAAUUCCACAUAUUCACUUCUCCAAAAACGCUUACAACAUACACAUAUCAUUCAUAUUCUUGAAUGUUAUAUGAAAGAAUUUAUUGUUGUUCUCAAUACUUUAGAACAUGCCUUUUUUUGACUAUUUAAGAAGAUAUAUUUAUUUGAUGAGAAAAGAUAUAAUGAUAUUUUAGGUUUGUGAAUGCAUAGCUUUACUGGGAAUGUCUCAAAUCUUCUUAGGUGUAUAAACUUUGAAAUGUUUCUUUCUAGUAUUCUUUUUAAGUAGAAGGAGUACCCAAUAAUUUUGAAGAAAGUAAACUCUCAAUAACAUCCCAUAUUGUAUAUUCAACUUGAUUUUUUGAGUAAUAUGAAUUUAAAUGCAUUAGAUUUUGAAGGUAUUGCUUUCGAAUUAUCCACACAGUUUUUAGGGCCAAAUUUCUGGCAUUUCUUUUGUAAAUUUAUAUAUCUGCAGUAGCACUUAGUUUCAAAGAUAUAUAAUGUUUUUAGAAAUAUGGAAAAGUAGUAGUAUUAUAAUUUUUAGAAAAAUCUUGAAAUUAUUAAGCAUUUUAGGAUUUCUAUGUGAAUCAUCAACUUGAACCAUAAAUGUUAGUAUGAACAUCAACUUAAAUUAUAGGGAAAUAAUACAGAACUUUAACAACGAAAUAAAAAUUUCUUGAAUCAACUGACACAGUAUUUUACUAUUUUAAAAUUGGAGAAACAUAACCUUAAAUUUGAAACUUGAUCUUCAGAGUAGUUUUGUUCAAUGAUGGAAAAACGUUAACUUAUGGAUUACACUAAAUUUUUUUCUUACAUUAGUCCAUCAUCAUCAUGCGACACAUGUUACUUGAUUGUGUGUUCUCUUUCAGAGGUAUUUUUAAUUAUUCACUCUCUCUACGGCCCUUUCCUAAAAUUAUUUUAUGCAAUUUCACUCAACUUGUUUUUUAUGGGAACCUUACCAUCUAUGUCGACUUGUUUGAAAAGACUGAAGAUGACAUCAAAUUUAGGUUGGAUUGAUAACUCCGAACAUGGGAACUACAUUUAAUGUAUCUGUCAAUACCUGGUUUCGUAUAGUUGAAUAAAAUGUGUUAUUAAAAAUAAUGAUAAUAGAUAAACAAAAAAUUGUUGAAAUAAAAUAUGUAAAAAGAAAUUUUAAAAUUUAAAAGAAAAUUAAUUGGUUAAAUUAAUUAGAAUUUAAAAAUAAUAAAAAAGAAGUCAUUUUUGAACCUAUUAUUUUGCCCAUUUUUUGUUAAAAAUGAUAUUAGCAUUUGCAUUCUUGUUACCCCUGAUUUUCUUUGAAGAGGCCAAUCCCAAUUUGCUACCUACACACCUGUUUUAUUAUUUCUCCAUCCUAAAAAACCCUCUGCAAUCUUUAGACACCCUUGUCAUCCUCUUUCUUGCUCCAGGCCAACAGAAUUCCUACUCACGAGGGUAACACCUGACCCUAACAGACCACACUCACUCAACAAAACUCGUGACUUUCUGUUUUUUCCCAAGGCAAACGGCACUAACACAAAAGAAGAGAUCACGUUUUUGGUUGACUCUCUCACACACAAUCACGAGACAGAGGACCUCUUCACAAUCUGUAUCCACUCAUCCUUAUCGUUUUGGGGCCCUCAUUCAUCUGAAAUUGAUUGAAUCAUUGAAGUUCUUGAUCUCUUUGAGUUGGCGUUUGUGCCUGAUAUUGUUUUGGGGUCUGGUUCGUGUGGCAGAACUUGCCCCCCGUUCUAUCAUUCUUAUCAGUGUUAUUUCUGAAGAUUGAAGAAAGUCUGUUGGUGUAUGACAUAGAUUUCUUCAUUUUAAUCUCAGUAGAAACCGAACCGCUUCUCACCCUUUCAUCUUCAUCUCUGCAAUCCUCACUGUAGGAGAAAAACCUGUCCGUGAAUCCACUUUUGGAGCGAGCAUUGUGCACGCCUACCCUUGCCUGCAUCUGGUGAGGUCAUUUUUUCACUCUUUUUUUUCGAUUUGGGGGUGGGAUGUGUUGUGAAAACAUAUUCUUAUUCCCUGUUUUUUAGCCAGAGUGCUUGAGGGUAUUGCAAAAGGGUCACGUUUUUUUUGUAGCUCGGAGCGAGUCCAGGUAAGGGGCCACUGUGAUCGGAAAUUUCUGCGCACGGCUUUACAAUCUGCGAAAUGUGGAAGAAUUUGGGAAAUGUGUUUGAAAUGAUUUUUUAUAUUUUAAACUAAAAGUUUUAAAUAUAUGUAUUUUAAUACUUCUAUUUAUUUUUAACAAUGAAAUCUGAGAUCAUGCUGGACAACACUAGUCAAUCUAGCUUGUUAAACAAACCAUUUAGGGGUUGGUUGUCAUUCGAUCACAACUUAAGUGCAUAUUGUUUCCUUCAAAUUUAGGGCACAUAAGUUGAUGGUCCUAUCUAACAUUUAUUAAAUAUGUAUUCUUUCUGAUUUGCUAGUGAGUUGAUUUUUGGUUGCUGCUGAGAGUUUUAGGGGAGGAUUUGGUGAAGUAUGGAACACUUAUUCAUUCAAUCCUUCUGUUUUUAUUUUUUUGUUUUCUUUUUAUGUUAAGUCCACUGCUAUAUUCUUCAGCAAUUGGGUUUGAAGAGCCGAGGAACAGGGUUGCAAUUUUCAUCCCGGUUUAGUGCUGAAAGAGGGCUUUGUCUCUACAUAAGAAAGCAGUAUGCCGCACAGAACACGACCCAUGACAGCACUCUUGCUGUUCACUGCACUAAAUACAGUUUUGUGUGCAACCAUUACUCCAGUCUAUGAUUUUGUUUGCUUUCUUCCGUACUGGGAAAGAAGGAGGGAAAGGCGUCGCCAGCAACGAGAAGCUACUAUAGCUAACAGUACAAAUUAGCCAUGACAGCAUUUAAUUGGAGAACCUUUCCGUAGUAAGAUUUUUAUUGUCCUUUCUUGCCAUUCUUGACGUAAAUAACCAUAUUUGGAAUGAAAAUAUGAACACUUGGACCCUUGGCCGCAAUCGUCGGAUAUUUAUAUAAGUAACCUUACUGUAACAUUACUUUAUUAAGGUCGGAAACCAAAUAUUCAAUUGAGUCAAUUUUCUUUUUUAAUUUUA